rnacentral:lncRNA from 1 species
UUUAAGAAGCUGGGGCAUCUGCACAUUCAAAACGCUCCGAAAAAAAGAAAGAGAAGGAAAAAUCCCCAAGGCAGGCAGAGCACCCAGCGCUUGGAAAGGGCGAGCGGCACCCAUGAGCUGAUGUCGUGCUGUGGAGGGGAGUUCGUUUCGAGGGCUGAGCAGCACAAAGCCUCGCUCUCCAGCCAGGCAGAGCCCAGGUGAGCGGUGGAGCAGUGGUCGUUGGCUUACCGUGCAGCUGAUCAGAGGCUGGUCUUGCUCUUGGUUGAGUGGAGGAAAUAGGAAGAGGAGCUUGAGUUAUCCAGGAACUAUGUCUGGGCUAGAAGGACAUUCAGAAACCUGGAUAUACUUACAAAGGCAAAACUUUCCUCUCUGCAGAAGGCAGCACCAAAAUCAUUGCUGAGAAAGAGGCUCUGCCAUCACCGCUCGUCCCCCGGUCCCAGGGAGUUGAUGACAAUAUUAUGCCAAAGAAGCCUGUGCAGGCAGAACUAUCUGGCAUAUUUCACAUCUCUGGCAGAAGUAACAGUUGUGGGUGAGUAGCAGACUAAUGAUGAAAAUGGAUUUUAAGAAAUUAUUCCAUGACUUCCAGAAACCCAGUGUG